rnacentral:tRNA from 2 species
GCCCGGAUGGUGGAAUUGGCAGACACGCUAGUUUCAGGUACUAGUGAGUUCACGCUCAUGGGGGUUCAAGUCCCCCUCCGGGCA